GUGCUCUUCCCAUCACAGGAUACUUGUCUGUUCUCUCUUUAUUUCAAAUACUUCUUCCCUAACUGUGAACUUUCUGCUCCCACCCAUUUAGACCAAGGAAGGCAGCCCCUAAGACCCUAGUCACAAAUACAGACAGCAGAGAAACACUGAUUCUAGAGGUCAGGACCAGGGAGUUUCCUACUGCCCUGGAUACUUCCCUCCCACCAGUACAAGAGGGGGCGACAGCAGACAUGACGGUUGGGUGGAGGGCGGGUGGAUCAAAGCUGUGAGUAGAGAUAAAUGAUUACACCUCCCCUGCAACCUGGCUUCCAGGUGAUCUCACCUAAAACUUUCCAAAUUGAUGCAUGGCAUCCUUGUCCUCCAAGACAGGAAAGUAGACUCCAUAAACCAUAUCAGAGUACUAUUGAUCAGAGAGAAGGGAAAAGUCCAAGGCUGUUAAUGCUGAGUUAUCAAUUUGAAUUUUACAUAUCCAUGUAUUGAGGUUCUUAAUUCAAAAUAUAUAAUGGACACAGAGGCAAAACAAGGCUGUAUGUCUUCAUAUAAUCAUUACUGAGGCAAAAAGCUCUAAGCAGUAAACUAGAGGCUAGACUUCAGCUUCCUUAGCACACUUUGUGCUCUCUAAGCCUUUGAUGAUGGGAGAAGGUUUCUGGCCACUGCAGGGAACAUGGGACACUGGGAGUAGCAGCCACACUGCUUGAAAGAUAACAAGAAAACUUCCUAGGACCAAGGAUGCAAGAAAGAAAGGACAGAGGGCAGAGAGAAGGUGGGAGGGAGAAGAGAAGAAGGAUGAGAAGAAAGAGGGAGAAAGGAAAGAAAUAAUAAAUGAACCCAAUAAAUCCCAUCCAUCUCAAGGAUUAAUUAUGUAAAACAUUGAGCUGAAGGAGCUCUGAGACAUGGCUUUUCCACUCCCACUGGCCUUUGGAGGCUGUGUGUAUCAAUUAGCUGAGAAACAUGAUGCUGACCUACAUGAAACAGGACACUAGGAGAAUCCUCCACUUCAGAGGUCAGGCUCCAUGAGUGCCCAGGGCCACUUCUGGGGGGACCAAGCUGCAAACAGGUGAUGUGAGUCUUUGACAUCCUCCUUGCUCCCUUAUGUAAAAUGCCUUCUAGUGUUCUCCUCCCACUUGAUCAGCGCCCACUUGAAGAGACAGAAGUGGCAUGAAGGGCAGCUCGAGGGAGUCAGUGUGUGGCAGGGAGGUGGAAAAUAGCCCCACUCCCUGAUGUCAGCUCAUCAGUGUUUAUUCUGGGCAGGCAAGAUGGCAAAGACCUAUCUAAUCUUCCAAGGGCAAAAAGGAUCAGAGCUCAUGUCACGUGUGACAAAAAGGAAGUUUAUCUUUUAUCAGGUUCCCCUUUCAGGUACUUCCGAGAACCCUUGAGGACUGCUUGCCUGCUCCCAGCUCUGCACUGGCCUCUGUCUGUCCCCUUGGAGUGGCAUGGAGACAGGCUCAGCUCUGAGGUCAUCUCUCCCAUCUCAUAACUACAUUCCUGGCUUCCCUUUCUGCUUUACUCCAACCACCAACGCAAGCCAUCCCUGAAUUCUUCAAAGUGGCCACAGAGAUCAGAAAGCUCAGGUUAACAAAAGAGAAUUACAAUGUAGAAAACUAUUUUCCCAAAAGAGAAUUGGGCUCCCAAGUCCUCCUCCUGCCCCAGGUUGCAUCUAUUUCUACAUCACUUGGAACCAUCAUUUUUUUGUUUUGUUUUGUUUUCACUGGCUCAUAACUCCUUUUGCGGAAUUACGGUGGGUAGACCCUCAUCCUUUUAUCCAAGAGAAGUCCUUGGGCCUCUGCUGGUGCUGUCGGCCUCAUCAUACCUUUGAUUUGUAUCUGCCAACAUGGACCAGAGAGAUGGACAGACUGAAGGAAGAUGAAGACGCUGAGCAGGUGGAGAUGAGAAAGAGCCAGAAUGAAACAUCAGCAUUGGGCUCUGUGGCUCAGAACUGUCUCCUCACAGUAACAUUCUAUCCUUAUUUUAUUUAUUUAACAACAUUUCUCCAUAAUAAGUUAUCUCCUUACAAGAAAAACUGAAGGAGUGUCAGUGGAAAUUUUAACCAAGCUGCAAUUUUUUGUAACAUGCAGUCACACAAGUGUGUUCUUUUAUAGGAAUAUGCAGGGCCGGUCUUAUCCCUGAAGAAAAAAGAACAUGGUGGGACUGCCUCGUUUACUGAGAUUGCUAAGAUAAUAAAUUGAUAUUAUGAGUCCAA